rnacentral:lncRNA from 1 species
UGGCAGGGCAGCAUUAGUGCGGCUGCAGUCAGGCUCUGCAAAAAAUGGACCCUUCGUACACCACCGAGUCUCCCAGAGCCACGGUGGGUGGCUCUGGUGGCAGCAGGGAGGUUGCCCCAGGAGCCCGGCCUCCGUCAGGUUUUGCCAGCGCUGCGGCCAGCGAGGUCUGCCUGCAGAUCGUCACCGCCUGCGAGGCCAGGGUCAGAAAAAGGCACAGCAUCGGAUAGGCAAAAGGGACUGCUGCUCUUCUUGGUGACACUGGUCUGUCAAAAACAGGACACCAGCAGCAGCUGGCACCUGGCUGUGAUGGCACUGGAGAGAUGCAGGGAGGUCAAUGCUGAGCUUGCAAUUGCAUCAAGUGCCAGACUCCAAAAAAGGGACUCAGGAUGCAGUUCAGCAACACUUUCUGCAUUCGUUCCCUCUAACAUGAGGCUUCUAACUGAGAUAUCACCCUCGCGCUGUGUGGACACAGAUGAGACCUCCCAGAGGGCUGUCGCUUCUCGUGUGGGCUGAAUCAGACUGCAAGGAAUCCCAAUUUUUGAAACUGUUCUGGGUGCAACCAUCUCUCUCCACUGAGUGUAGAGGAAACCUUGGGUGACUCUGCUGCUAUCUUGGACUCUGAACGAAAGCCUCUAACGUUAAGUGUGAAGAUACAGGCCUAACCACCCAUGUUAACCAUAAAUCAUCUGCUUAAAAUUAAACAUGUGCCUCAGUGAUCUGCAGAUGCUGCUCUUUAAAAAAAAACCUACCUGUAAUAAUUUGAAUAAGUAUUAGUCAUUAAAUGUGAGUAUAUUAAAUGACCCACACAGCUGCAGUAACAUGGCUUUUGAAUGGCUCCCGUAUCAAAUCAGUCACAGUUUAUGCUGGUGGGACAAGGCAUUUGGUUCUUGACUCUGGAUUUUUGUUUCCCACCUAUCUCAGGCAAGUGACAGAAAAAAGCACAAAGUGCUUGUCUUUAGCUUGCAGAGGCAUUUUAAGACAGGAAGCAAGUUUAAGUGGAGUUUGGCAUCCCAUGGGGUGAACUUUUCCCGACAGCCAAAGGAAUGAUAUUGAACACUAUCAUUCUCUGCUGUGCACAUCUUUGCCUGACCUUAUCCCGGAUGCAUCCCCUUUGACUUACUUCUUUAAAGAGACUAAUAGAUUUUCUUUAGCUUGAGGCAGAGCAAACCUCUGCUGGAUUGAACUAAUGUAGAAGUAUUAGAAAGGAUUGGUGCUGGGAUUUUUUUCCCCUCUUCCCCUUGCUGUGCAAUAGGAAGAAAAUGUAUGACCUAAAUCUGCCAAGCACCUUCAAAGGGAAGGAAGAAACACAUGUGGAAAAGCGUUAGAAAGCCACCCAGCUCCUUUUAAUUAUGAUGAGAAUGCCAAGAUUGCUAAACGAAUAGAAAAUAAACGGAAUAAGUAUUAAAUGAUUAUGGUUUCC